GGGGUUAUGGCUCAGUGGUAGAGUGCUCACCUAGCAUGUGAGAGGCUCUGGGUUCGAUCCUCAGCACCACCU
rnacentral:tRNA from 1 species